rnacentral:lncRNA from 10 species
UUCAAGUGUUGCCGGACACACUUCUACAUUGCCUGGAUUUUUAACAACAAGCAGAUAUAAAAUAAGUUCAUUGUUUUUUACUGGAGUUUCAUCCUUUGCAUCCUCCAGCCUACGUUUAAGGCUGAAUUCAUACUUAGUGACCCGACAGUACCUGCUGGCUGGCCUGGCAGUGCUCCAAGGAGACCCAGGACGCUCAGGCCACCCGGUACAAACACAGCCCAGCAUCAAGAAAACAGCACUGAAUCAGUCAGUCUUGGAUCUGUAACCAGCUGGCUGUGCGACCUUAGGGAUGAACCCAGGAAGCCCUUGAGGAUUGCUGCCACUCAAAAUCCCCUGGACUCUUGUUGGUGACGGGGCAGGAGUGGAGAGGAGGACAAAGCCGGCAGCCAGCAAAGGAGGGCCCAAGUUCAAAGGUGUUAAAAGACCCGUGGCUUUGGGUGUCUCAACCAGCAAACUUCUCCUCCCUCACGGACUUUCUACAGGCUUGCAAGCCAACUGGUUUCCCCAGUGGGGAAAGUAUACCACCACUGUCUAAAAGGAGGGCCUCUCGCCAUGGAUGUGCUACAAGAGGAGAUAACAAAUGCAUUUGGGUUUCCAAUGGCCCAGCUGCACCGUGUUAAGAAAAACGCCGUUUUCCUGCUCUUAAUCCAUUCCUGGUGGAGAUGUUGCUUCAACUUGAAGGAGCCUUUUAUGUGCUGAAGUCAACUGCAAUCUAAAAGAUAAGUUAAAUCACUUAUUCAGGAAGACAGGAAGCCUUUGACAGCAGUGACUGAUUAAGAUUUCACAGCAGCCAGAGCCAGGCCUACGGAACCCAAAGAGUGCUCGUUCCCUCACCAACCAGCACUGUUGGCCCCUCCUUGGCAGCAAGCCAAGCUCAGAAUCCUACCCUCGGGGAGAUUUCCCUCUGACAGAGCAUGGAGGGGGCUGGAGCAGACAGAGGGGAGUGCUAAGUCCCAGCAGGUGAACCUGAGAGCCCUGAUGACAGGAACUAGAGAUACCCCACCCUCUGCCCAGCCCCCUUCCUCACCUCCAUUUAGCCUUGGCCUGGUCUCCCAUGGUCAGCUCAAGGGUCCCCUCUUCCAGGAAGCCUUCCCUGACCCUACAGGCCAGGACUCGCAGGUGCCUUUACACAACAUGUUCCUAGAGCACUUGUACUUUACCCCAUCCUCGCACCUUUGACUCUGAAGACUUGCCUGUCACCUGGCAUGGCAGCCACUUGACUGUGAGCACUCUGGGGGCAGCACAUGGUACCAUGCUGGAUGCCCACUAAGCUCUUGGCACGUGUUUGGAAGGCAGAGGAACCUGAGCUCAGGGAACAGAGUGACUACCUGCCUUGCCAGUGUCACCUGCCAGCUUAUCCAAGUGCUCACAGCCCUGCUGGCUGCUAACCACUGGGCCAGGCCCUGGGGGCAUCCGCAGUAUUCCAACAGGGCUUCUUGUCCUAAAAUGCCACCCAGGCCCCAAAGGCCCACUGUUAGAAUCCACUCUUUUAGCAAAGCAUCACCUCCAGAAAGUUCCCAUCCCCAAGAGGAGGCACAGUCUCACCCUGUGGUCCUCUUCAUCUGCUUGGCCAGCCAGGGAUGGGGCUCAGGGGAAGGAUUAAUCUAGGGCCCAGGAUGCUGACCAGGGUGAGCAGGCUGGAGGAGGCACUGGGGUGGGCAGUCCAUGGGCAGCCUGGGGGCACUGGGUCCAGAAGAUGAAAGUAUGCCUCAAGGGCAUCAAGGUAAGAUCCCAACUUUACACAUGAACAAAACCCUCAGAAGAGCAGAACUGGGCUAAGUUCAGGACAGAAGAGAUGUGCAAGCAGGUGAGCAAAUGAUGUCAAGGUUGGAGGUGAGCUGAAAGGCGCAGGGGGUAGCUCUGUGGAAAGCACAGUGUUCACUGUGUUGGGAGGGCUGGGACCCAAGUUACUCCACCCCUAGUCCCCCACUUCUGCACCAGUGGUAGCCCUGGGCAGGCCAUCAACCUUAGAUAUCUGAAUAUGAGAAUCAUCAUCUGCCCUGCCUGCCUUGCACAACUACUGCUCUACAUUAAAUCAGAAAGGAGAUGAGAAAAUUCUCUAGAAGCCUAAAAGCAAUAUAGAAAUAGAAACUGUUGUAACAAUCAUCAUUUGCUUUUUCAGAGUGUCUUGCAGCCUGUAUAGGGCUUUCCUAUCCAGUAACCUCCUAACCCUCAAAACAACUCUGGGAGAUAGGUAUGGAUAUGUAUACUCAAUUUACAGAUGUGAAAACUGAGGAACAGAUAGUUCCAGCCCAGAAUCACACCAAUAACAAGGGGCUGAGGUGACAGCUAUGUCCAGGUCUUCUGCUGCAAAUAGAGUAUUCUAUUUACCACACCAAGAUGUACCCUCCAUUGUCUAAAAUCACAAGCUCUGGCUGUACAGAAAACCCUCCUUAUUCUUCAGUCUUUCUAUGGAUUUGUUGAUUCCUCCUCCUUCUUCAAUCCAUCCGUGGAUUUGCUGAUUGACAAAUGAGCUUCCCUGGUCUCCUUGUCAUGGCACUGUUUGGGGGAGUUUGUGGUCAGAGUUUUUAUCUGAGGACAAGAAACCAGGCUGCAGCCUGGGCUCAGCCUCUUAUCCAUUGUGGGGCUAAGGAAGAGUCCCUGUCCCCCAGUAUUCUCCAAUCCCAUCUGAUGUUAAAACCUCUUAAUGACCCUGAUCUAAGCAUUUCCAGAAAAAGGUUCUCAGGGCCUUUCUGGGGGUGGCGGGGGCAAUCCUUUGUGACAGCAUGAAAAGCCGGAUGGGGCUGGCCUGGUUGCAAUGGCACACGCUAGGUUCCAGGCACUCCACACGUUUCUCAUGAUAACCUCGUGGUUGAUACUCACACAGAUGAGGAGCUGAAAGGCUGCAGGAGCUGCCCACCAUCCUCACACAGCGUGGAAGUGGUAGCACCAAGACUGAGGCCCAGGAGGGGGGUCCAAAGGGCCAUCCUGCAUUUUCCAUUGCAGCAGGGUGGGAAGGAGAGGGAGAUAGAGACUUUACCUCUACUCUAAAUCACCUCCUUAGGUUGCCAUAUUUUCCUUACUUCAAUGAAUUAUGUGGAACAAAAUACACUCAAUUGGUAGCAGAAAUCGGCCUCCAGUUUCUCAGAUCCUCAUUCAACGAAAGCAUCCUUUGCAGGUGCCACUGCUUGGGAAUACACCUGUAAUUCACAUCUGCACACAAAACUCCAUCUUUCUUUGAGGCCUGAACAAACAGGUUUUUGUCGUUUUGUGGUUUUUGUUUGUUUGUUUGUUUAAGAGAUGGGGUCUCACUAUGUUGCCCAGGCUGGCCUCAAACUCCUGGGCUCAAGGGACCCUACUGCCUCAGCCUCCAGAGUAGCUGGGAUGACAGGUGCACACCACUGUGUCCAGCUUUACAAAUAGGUUUCUUAGGCUGACCUUAUCAAUCUCAACAUCAACACAAUUAAGGAAUUUGCUCACAAUAGUCUCCUGUUGGAGUCUUUACGUGCACGAACAUCGUUCUCACAGACCAUCCAAUAUGGACAAACUUGACUUGGAAACAGGAAAAUAGGGAGGUAAUUAAUCACCUGGUAAAAGGACACACCCCAGAUGUACUUUUCACAUCACCAUCCCCAAAUAUGCCUUAAGGGGCAUCAAGGUAACAUCCCAGCUUUAUACCACAUGAAUAGAGCUUCUCUAUUCAUGUGGUUUUCAGAACAUAUCCAUCUACUAGACUCAGGAACUUGACUUGAGAGACAUGGAUAUUUCUUGCUUCCUGGCAGCAAAUCCAACAGCAAUUCCAGUCCCUGCAGCCAGUUAGGCAGGGAGGAAAGGGCUGGUGUGUCAGGGCUGGUCCAAGCACACUGGUAUACUUGAGUCAACAUCUGCAGCAGAGGAAGGGAGACAGAGGGGACUGAAUAAACGGAGCUGUGCCAUUGGGAGUCCACCAAGCACGCCAAUGCCCUCCUACGCCCCUCAGCUCCAGGCCUCCUGGCCUCACACCACCCUAGAACAUUCUUGUUGCCCAAACCUCAGAGGAGGGCUUUCCCUGAACCAACUCUGACUUCCUGCUUCCUCUCUGACCCUACAUGGUGGUACUCCACCUCUGCCAGACAUCCCUUCCCUGCUCUGCCUGCAGCUUCAUCAAAGCCUACUGGGCCCUGGAGAAGAGAGCCAUGCCAAUCCCCCCUGCAGUGAGCUAGCACAGUGCAUUCAGGUUAGUUACUUUCCUUCUUGGGCAUCUCUGGUUUAUAACAUGAGCCUCUUGGAGAGGGCGGUAUUUUGAACAAAAGGAAAUAAUCUUUCAUUGUGAAAUUUCAAGGACUGUGGGGGAAGAAAUCCAGUGAGGCUGGAGGGCAGUAAUGGGGGAACAGAGAGAUCUCUGAGAUACAACAAUGUCACACGGACCAGCCAUGAGCUACUACUGGAAAUCUGUUUUUCAAAAUUUAAAAGAGUCAAUUUCCAGAUGUCUGCUUAGCGGAGCCAAACUGCUGUUGAUUUGUUCCCAGUUCGCCACGGAAUAAAGUCUGAACUCCUCACCCGAGCACUCCAGACCUUCCACGUUCUGGCUCCCAUAAAGCCUGCUCUCCUUCCUGCCCCUCCUAGGAACCCCACUUAGCCAUUCGCUUCCGCACUAUCCUGCAGACCUGCUCGGGGCUUCCCAGCCUGCACACUAGCCCAGGCCUGAGCAUGCUCCUUUACCAGCACCACUGCACUGCACAACUCCAGUGGGUGCCGUGCUCAUGCCAGGCUGUGUGUGUGCAGUGCACAGCAUGGCAAUCCAUGUGCUGCCUCAUCCAUAGCCUCCACUUCAGGAAGUCUCCCGUGCACCCCUGCAACCUUCCUCUUCUCAAUUUCUUUGUUGCCUAGAACCUGCAGCUCACUUCAGGCACUGGACACUCCCUGCUUCACAUUCUCUUGAUCUGAGUGGGUGGGGGUAGGUCCCCAAUCAGAGCACAAAUGCCCUGAGGGCAGUGACUGAGUCCUAAGACCUCACACCCCAGGUGAGCGGGCUGAGAAGUU